rnacentral:rRNA from 1 species
GACGAACGCUGGCGGCGUGCCUAAUACAUGCAAGUAGAACGCUGAAGGAGGAGCUUGCUCUUCUGGAUGAGUUGCGAACGGGCGAGUAACGCGUAGGUAACCUGCCUGGUAGCGGGGGAUAACUAUUGGAAACGAUAGCUAAUACCGCAUAAUAGUAGAUGUUGCAUGAUAUUUACUUAAAAGGUGCAAUUGCACCACUACCAGAUGGACCUGCGUUGUAUUAGCUAGUUGGUGGGGUAACGGCUCACCAAGGCGACGAUACAUAGCCGACCUGAGAGGGUGAUCGGCCACACUGGGACUGAGACACGGCCCAGACUCCUACGGGAGGCAGCAGUAGGGAAUCUUCGGCAAUGGACGAAAGUCUGACCGAGCAACGCCGCGUGAGUGAAGAAGGUUUUCGGAUCGUAAAGCUCUGUUGUAAGAGAAGAACGAGUGUGAGAGUGGAAAGUUCACACUGUGACGGUAUCUUACCAGAAAGGGACGGCUAACUACGUG